rnacentral:rRNA from 1 species
UACGAAGGGGGGCUAGCGUUGUUCGGAAUUACUGGGCGUAAAGGGCGCGUAGGCGGCUUCGCUAGUCGGGCGUGAAAUGCCUGGGCUUAACCCGGGAAUUGCGUUCGAUACUUCGAGGCUAGAGUGUGGGAGAGGUUGGUGGAAUUCCCAGUGUAGAGGUGAAAUUCGUAGAUAUUGGGAAGAACACCGGUGGCGAAGGCGGCCAACUGGACCACAACUGACGCUGAGGCGCGAAAGCGUGGGGAGCAAACAGG